rnacentral:rRNA from 1 species
CAGUCGCCACGGUAAUACGAAGGGUGCAAGCGUUACUCGGAAUUACUGGGCGUAAAGCGUGCGUAGGUGGUGGUUUAAGUCCGUUGUGAAAGCCCUGGGCUCAACCUGGGAAUUGCAGUGGAUACUGGGUCACUAGAGUGUGGUAGAGGAUAGUGGAAUUUCCGGUGUAGCAGUGAAAUGCGUAGAGAUCGGAAGGAACAUCUGUGGCGAAGGCGACUAUCUGGGACAACAUUGACGCUGAGGCACGAAAGCGUGGGGAGCAAACAGGAUUAGAUACCCCUGUAGUCCCUGUCUCUUAUAC